AUAUUCCAAUGCUUUAAUCAAUUUCUUAGCCAGUAUCACCAUAUUUUUAAGGAUUUUUUUUGACACAGUCUAUUAUUUUUAAAUUUUGAUAAAAUUGUAUGUAAUCCUCAAUGCUGGACUUUAUGGUUAAUAAACUUGAAAUUAUAGCUACCUUCAAAUGGCGCUUCUCUGAACACCAUACCUUUUAAAUUGAGAUAUAUACUCUGCAUAUACUAAGGUAAUCAGAAGUCUUAGAAUAUAGCCAAUGAAAUGGAAAAUAUCCUCAUGAGUAUUGUGAAUAUGGAAUAUUAGAUUGCAAAUAUUUUAGCAGUUGAUGUAUUUUGCCUUCACAGUACAUUUCUACUUUUUUUUUUGCCACUUAGUCUAGGAAGGGUACAUUUAUUUAAAAAUUAUUCCUAAAGCCAAACAAAUUGGCUCAAUUUAUGAUACCUUUGAAUGUUAAGCCAAAUUUAGGUGUUACGGAAACAUAAACCUUCUCAAUUGCAUUCCAUUCUAACACAAAUUGUAAAUGUAUCCAGUUAGAAAUGGGAGCACCAUCAAAAGACUACUGCCAUAGCUGAAGAAAGUCCUAUGCAAAAUUGAAGAAUUUCAAAAUUAAAUCCUGUAUAUAAUACGUUAGUUCAUGACUUUAUUUAUUCAGUUUCUUCCUUAAUUUGUAGGACUAAAUCCCAUUGUCUUCAUGUUGGCAAGUUCUGAUAACUGAAAUUCUGUUGAAUUUCUAUACUGAAUAGGAGUAAGGAUAGAUGAUAUCACUGUUUUGUGCCAAAUCAACAGAAUCUUAAACAACCAAAGGGUUAAAGAACAAAUAAAAAGAGAAUUUAGAAAACAUUUUAGAUAAAUACAAAUUUACUAAAGUUCAUGAGAUGCUUACUGCUCAGGGAAAAAUUUAUAGCUCUACAUGCCUAUAAAAAGGAGGAAAGAUGUCAAAUCAAUGACCUAACUGUAUACACUUAGGAAUUAGAAUAUGAAAAAUAGAAAAAAAAAAAAAGCAAAACCAGGAGAAGAAAGGAAAUAAUAAAGAUAAAAGUGAGGUUAGAUUAAAUAGAAAAUAGAAAAAUAAUAGAGAAAACUUACAAAAUUAAAAGCUGGUUCUUUGAAAAGAUCAAAAAAAGUGGCAAAACUGUAGCAGGACUGAACAAGAAAAAAGAGAAAACAUCAAAAUUACUAAAGUCAGAGCUGAAAGUGGAGACAUUACUAAACUUACAAAAAUGAAAAUGAUGAUAGAAGAAAAUUAUAAACAAUUGUAUGUCAACAAAAUAACCUAAAUGGAAAGGAAAAAGUCCUAGAAACACACAAACUAUCACUGACUCAAGAAAAAAUAGAAAAUCUUAACAGGAGUGAUGUCAGCAAGAUAGAAGAAUGGGACUUUCCAGCACUUAGCUCUCACAGAAACAUCAAUUUAAACGUAUAUCUAUGCAUGAACAAACUUUCACAGGAGCUAAAGAAUCCAAGUAGCUCACUCAGAGGGGAUGGGAAUGAAGCAGCUAGUAGACAACUGUCUCUGAGACAGCAAAAAUGUUGGAUUUAGCAAAGAUCUGAAAGCAGCUAUUUUAAUUAUGUUCAAAGAACUAAAACAAGCCAUAUGUAAAGAAUUUAAAGAAGAGUAUGACAAUAAUACCCUGCCAGAGACUAUCGACAGAGAGAUGGAAAUUAUUACUGCAAUGAAAGAACCAAGUAGAAAUUCUAGAGUUGAAAAGCACAAUAACUGAAAUGAAAAAUUCACUAGAAGAACUCAUAGCAGAUUUAACCUGAAAAAAGAAUUAGUGAACUUGAAAAUAGGUCAAGUCAAUAAAAUUAUGCAGUCUGAAGAACAGAAAGAAAAACAGAAGGAAUAAAAAUGAAGAAAGCAUCAGAGGCAUGUAGUACACCAUCAAGCAAACCAACAUACAUAUAAGAGGAGGGUCAGAAGGAAAGAAAAAGAAAAAAUGCUUGAAAAAUAAUGGCCAAACUCUCUGUGAAGUUGAUCACACACAUGCACACACACCUACAUUUACAAGAAUGUGAACACACUCCAAGUGGGAUAAACCCAGAUAUUAAUACUUAAUCAACAUGUCUCAAGGAGAGCUACCCCAGAGUCAAAUUGUCAGAAGCCAAGAACAAAGGGAAAUCUUGAAAACAGCAAGGGAAACAUUAUUCAUCAUAUAAACGAGAUUCUCAACAGGACUACUGGCUGACUUCUCAUCAGAAACAACAGAGAACAAAAGGCAGUGGGAUGAGAUUCAAAGUACUAAAACAAACAAAAACAAAAAACAAAACAAAACAAAACAAAAACAAAUAAAACCCUACCAGUCAACCAAGAAUUCUAUAUCCAGAAUAUUCUCUCUCAAAAUAUAGAUAAAAUAAAGAGAAUUGCAGAUAAGGACUGAAAGCCUUUGUUGCUAGCAGACUUUCCUAAUAAGAAAUAUUAAAGUUCUUUAGAAUGAAGGUGAUGGUCACUGGAAUCCACACAAAGAAAUAAUGAGCACUGAUUAAAGUCAUUACAUAGGAGACUACAUACAUGAAAGGAAAACUGACAAAACUGAAGAGAGAAAAUGACAGCUCAACAAUAGAAGGUGGAGAUUUUAACACUCUAUUCUCAAUACAUACAACAACUAGACAGAAAAUCUGCAAGGAUAUAGAAGACUUAAACAACACUACAAACUAGUUUGUCUUAACUGAUGGUUGGUUGAACACUCAACCAACAAUAAAAUACAUACUCAACAUGCAACAUUUUCUAAACUAAACAAUAUACUAGACUUAUAUAUGGCAAAUCAUAAUAUUUUUUAUAAGUAAGUCAUGCUAAGUAUAUUCUCUGACCACAGUGAAAAUAAAAUUAGAAAUCAAACACUGAGGAAAUUUGGGAAAUGUAAAAAUAUUUUGAAAUUAUUCAACACAUUGUUAAAUACCCCAUGGAUCAAAGAAUAAAUUAUAAGAGAAAUUAGGAUGUAUUUUUUAUUUUACUUCCUAAAAAUAGAGAUGAGAAUCUCACUAUGUUGAUCAGGCUGGUCUCAAACUCCUGGCCUCAAGCAACCCUCCCAUCUUGGCCUCCCAAAAUGCUGGGAUUACCGGCAUGAACCAUCGCACCUUGCCUAGAAUGUAUUUUUAAUAAAAACAAAAACAAUCCAAAUUUUUGGAGCAGCUAAAUAUGUUUUUAUUUUUAGCUUUAAAUGCCUAUAGUGCUAGAAAAGAAUAAAGAUGUAAAAUCAUUUGGUAGACUUCACCAGUGAAACCAUGUAGUCUUUGGCUUUUCUUUGUUAGGAGGUAUUAGAUUGCUAUUCAUUCUUCUUACUGGUCAUAGGUAUAUUCAGAUUUUCUAUUUCUUCAUUAUUGAGUCUUAGAAAGGUGUGUGUUUCUAGAAACUUUUCCAUUUUGUCUAGGUUAUCAAAUUUAUUGGAAUACCGUUGUAAAAAGUACUCUUGAAUAAUGCUUUUUAUUAGUAUACAGUUGGUAGGAAUGGAAUGUUCCCUGUUUCAUUUCUGAUCCUAGUUAUUUCAGUCUUCCUCUCUUAAUCAAUCUGCCUAAUGGUUCUCAAUUUUGUUGAGCUUUUCAAAUAACCAACUCUUAGUUUUACUAAUUUUCUCUAUUUUUUAUUCUCUAAUAUGUUAAUCUCAAGCCUAAUAUUUUCAUUUCCUUCCUUCUACUAGCUUCAGAUUUAGUUUCUUCUUCUUUUCUAGUUUCUAAUGGCAUAAAGUUAGGGGGCUGACUUGAAAUCUUUCUUCUUUUUUAAUGUAAACACUAACAGCUAUAAAAUUCCCUUAACACUGCUUUUGCUGCAUCCCAUAAAUUUGGUAUGUUGUGUUUUCAUUUUCAUUUACCUCAUUUUCAUUUGUUUUGAUUUCUUCUUUGAUCCACUAGUUUAGAGUGUGCUUAGUUUUCAUAUACUUGUGGAUUUUACAGUUUUACUUAUGCUAUUGAAUUCUAGUUUCAAUAUUUUAACAUUAUGACUUCUUCUGUGGCCUAAGACAUAGUUUAUCCUGGAUAAUAAUCCACAUGCACUUGAGGAAAAUGUGCACUCUGCUAUUGUUGAGUGGAAAUGUUAUGUAUAUAUGUGUGUUAGGUCCAAUUGGUUCAAGUCCCCUAUUUCCUUAUUUAUCUUCUGUCCUGUUCCUCUACAUAUUAUUAAAAGUAGUGUAUUGAAGUCUCCUACUAUUAUUGCAUAGAUGUCUAUUUCUUCCUUCAAUUCUGUCAAUGUGUCCUUCAUAUAUUUUGGAGCUCAGGUGUUUAGUGUAUAUGUAUUUGUAAUUGAUAUAUCUUCUUGGUAAGUUGACCCUUUUAUUAUAUAUUCUUUGUCUCUUCUAACCUUUUUUAACUUAUAGUAUAUUUUGUCUGAUAUUAAUACAGCCAUGCCCACUCUUUUUAAUUGCUGUUUGCAUGAAAUAUCUUUUUUCUUCUUUUCACUUUCUUUUUGUUUGUUUUUUAGACGGAG
rnacentral:lncRNA from 1 species